ACGCACGCUGGCGGCGUGCUUAACACAUGCAAGUCGAACGGAAAGGCCCUGCUUUUGUGGGGUGCUCGAGUGGCGAACGGGUGAGUAACACGUGAGUAACCUGCCCUUGACUUUGGGAUGACUUCAGGAAACUGGGGCUAAUACCGGAUAGGAGCUCCUGCUGCAUGGUGGGGGUUGGAAAGUUUCGGCGGUUGGGGAUGGACUCGCGGCUUAUCAGCUUGUUGGUGGGGUAGUGGCUUACCAAGGCUUUGACGGGUAGCCGGCCUGAGAGGGUGACCGGCCACAUUGGGACUGAGAUACGGCCCAGACUCCUACGGGAGGCAGCAGUGGGGAAUAUUGCACAAUGGGCGGAAGCCUGAUGCAGCAACGCCGCGUGCGGGAUGACGGCCUUCGGGUUGUAAACCGCUUUCGCCUGUGACGAAGCGUGAGUGACGGUAAUGGGUAAAGAAGCACCGGCUAACUACGUG
rnacentral:rRNA from 1 species